UUUUUGGACUGGUUGUGCUGAGAAUUCUGUCCAAUCAUAAAUGGAAGAACCCAGAGUUUGAAAAUGAAACUAACAGGCCUUUGCUGCCAGAUGCCAGAUGAAGAGAUCAAGAAGAUACUGUGCAUCGGAAUUCAGCUCACUGGUUUUAUGUUUAGACCUUUUACACCAACCCACCUGAGUGACAGACUUGUACCUUGUCAGUUAGAGACAGACCUCUUGUGGUUAGCCAGAAAAUUGCAAGAAAAUGUACCUUAAUAAAUUGUUGAGUCUACAAGGAA